ACUUUUAAAAUCGAUUAUUUCAGAACCGAUUUCGUAUGUAGUAUACAAAAUCGGUUCUUAAAUAACCGAUUUUAAAAGU
rnacentral:miRNA from 1 species